CCUACGGGUGGCAGCAGUGGGGAAUAUUGGGCAAUGGGCGCGAGCCUGACCCAGCAACGCCGCGUGAAGGAUGAAUGUUUUCGGAUUGUAAACUUCUGUCUCUAAGGACGAAGAGUGACGGUACCUCGUCAGAAAGCCCCGGCUAACUACGUGCCAGCAGCCGCGGUACUACGGAGGAGGCGAGCGUUGUCCGGAAUGACUGGGUUUAAGGGGAGUGUAGGUGGCUUAUCAAGUCAGAUGUGAAAUUCAGCGGCUUAACCGUGGAACUGCAUCUAAAACUGGUGAGCUGGAGUGCAGGAGAGGUGGGUGGAAUUCGUAGUGUAGCGGUGGAAUGCGUAGAUAUUAGGAGGAACACCAGAGGCGAAGGCGACUCACUGGACUGUAACUGACGUUGAGGCUCGAAAGUGUGGGGAGCAAACAGGAUUAGAUACCCCAGUAGUC
rnacentral:rRNA from 1 species